rnacentral:rRNA from 1 species
AUUGAACGCUGGCGGCAGGCCUAACACAUGCAAGUCGAGCGGAGCGGCGGACGGGUGAGUAAUGCCUAGGAAACUGCCUGGAAGCGGGGGAAAACGUCCGGAAACGGGCGCAAAUACCGAAUACUAUCAGAUGAGCCUAGGGCGGAUUAGCUAGUUGGUGGGGCAAAGGACUACCACGGCGCCGAUCCGUAAUUGGUCUGAGAGUAUGAUCAGUCACACUGGGACUGGGACACGGUGCAGACUCCUACGGGAGGCAGCAGUGGGGAAUAUUGGACAAUAGGCGAAAGCCUGAUGCAGCGACGCCGCGUGGGGGAUGAAGGCUUUCGGGUUGUAAACCUCUUUCGCUAUCGAACGGGUAGGUGGAGAGAAAGCGCCGGCUAACUACGUGCCAGCAGCCGCGGUAAUUC